CACAAGGACUGCAGCUUGGAACUUUCCACUGUCCUCACGUGGCCGCGAGUUGACACACAUCUUCUGUCACUCAGGACCCGAGGGGGCAGAGCCUGAAGCCCUAUUAUCCAGUCACUGGUGCUGGGGUGAAAACUGUCCAAUCAGGCGAUGAACUGCAGAGGUCGGGGCGGUCUUCCUCACCCGGCUGGUCCUUUGUUUCCUGAGUUUGUGCUCCUGGCUCCGGGUACCCUCUGGUCUCCACUGCUUUGUCUCCUUCACGCCUAGAUGCCCUAAAUGGCUGUGCAGUGGCCUCUGUGGCUCUGUGACUUGCACGAACUGAGAAAUUUAUGAGGAGACGCCAGGACAUGGACUCAGACACCUUUCAGGAUUUAGCUGUGAACUUUACCAAGAAGGAGUGGGCUUUGUUGGAUUCUUAGAAAAAUCUACAGAAAUGUAAUGUGGGAAACGUUCAGGAAGCUGGCUUCUACAGUCUAGAAAACAAAUGGAAAUGCCAGAACAUUGAAGAUCAACUCAAAAAUUCUGGAAGUAAUCUAAGGCACCUCAUAUCUCACUCUGGACACGAGCCAUAUGAAUGUGAAGAAAAUGGAAAGAAGCCAGAUAGACCUAAAUGAUGUCAGAAAGCCAUCAUUUCUCUCACGUGUGUUCGAGGACACAUGGAAAUGCACACUAGAAAUGGACCUUAUAAAUGUACAGUAUGUGGAAAAGCCUUUGAUUUUCCCAAUGUUUUUUAUACACAUCACAGAAAUCACACUAAAAAGAAAGCCUAUAAAUAUAAACAAUGUGGUAGAGCCUUCAGUUACUUGGAUUCUUUUGAGAAACAGAAGAACUCACACUGGGACAAAACUCUAUAAAUGUAAGUAUGAACAGACACAAGCAUUAUUAAAUGCUGCUACAUGCUGAAUUGAAUCUCAGGAGACUCACAGGCUCGCUAGAGUUCCAGAAUGAGGAAAUCCUUUUCAGAAGAACCAGAGAAUCUAUUCCUUAAACCUGGAGAAGAGCAUGAUGUCAUAGUUUCAUUUCUUCAAAGGAUUCUGAAGCCUGGGAAAAAAGACAGAAGCAGAACAGAAAGACAUUCUUCAUUUUGUUGACUGCAGGGGUGGAGGCUGGAAGUCUCUGCCACUAAAAUUGAUGAACUGGACACAUGCCAUGUUGUGAAUAAAGCUGAUUGUUAAUGCUAGUGCCCUGGCCUGGCAAGGUCUGAUUCUUUCCACGGAUCCCAGCUGAGCCCCUGUGGGAGCUGCUCCCUGCACUGAUGUGGUCCCUUGGCUGGCAGGCCCCUCUAUGGUCAACCACAUGACACCUGCCUGUUAUGAGGGACAGAGUCCAAAGAAGCAACUCAGCUCUUCAGGUAUCAUGUAUGUGUUUUCUGGGAAUUGCUUUUCUCUCCUAAGUAGACUACAAAUUUGAGACUGAUUUUCUCUGUCAGUAAAUGUGAAUGCUUCCAGUCAUCUGUCAAGUAUCUUCUAUUGUUCUGACAAUGAGGCAGAUGCCUGCUGUUUUGGGUCAAACCUAGGUAAAUGUGCAUGACCACAGCAAGUACCACUGAGGACCUAUUGGGAUACUUUCUCUAAAUUGAUCGCAUUUCAUUUACCAGUUGGAUAAUGGUACCACAUUACCAUUGUGCUCUUGCUUUUUCUGCUUCUCCAUUCAUUUCCAUUCGUCUUUGAAUUCUUUAAAAAAUCUUGCCUACAUUUUUCUGUGGCCCCAAAGGACAUUGUGUUGGACUAGUGAUGGUGUGUACAAUUCAAUAAGUGUCUGGUCUCUGAACUGAAAGAAUAACCUUUUGAAUUUUAGAGAUUCAGGACUCAGGAGAAGACUUCGUGGCAAGAGUUGACGUAGGAGUUGACAGCGCAAACCCUACACCAGUUCUUAGCAGUGUUGAUCUCCAAGAAAGAACAGAAACAGCUGCAAGUCCUGCUCCCAGAGACUUACAGGUCCCAGAGUGAGGAAGUCCCUUUUCAGUGGAUCCAGAGAAUCUAUUUGUUAAACCUGGAGAAGAACAUGAGGUUAUAGUUUCUUUUUCUCCAAAGGAUCCCAAAGUUUGGGAGGAAAGGAUCUAAAAAAUAUUUGUGCAGCCAUUUGGACCUCAGUGUGAAGUGAUAUUAAAAGGUGAAGUCCAUUCUUCAGGAAGUAAACCUCUGCCACGUGGAUCACGCUCAGACAUUCUAUUGAAUUUUGUCUGACAAACAGUUUCUUGCUUUGGAAGGUGUCUUUCUUGGUGGAACACUAUGCAAAGAGUACCUGACAUGUGGCCACAACACAGGGUCUGCUGAAGAGGGAGUAUCAUCACCUCAAACUCACAGCCACCUGAUAUUUUCAAAAGCCAGCCAAGAGAGAUGUUUACAGAGAGCUGCGGAGAAAACAUGCAGUCCAUCCAGGCAUCUCAUUGAGCUAAGUUUCUCAAGCAGUCACCCCGUGGUUUUAGCAGACCCCACAGAAGUGGUUUUGAUGCUCCAGCCUUGGGUGUCAUACUGUGCCCAUACCAAAUGGAGCACCUCCAAAGGAGCAGACCCGAAGAAAUGGUAUUUAGUGUACUGUAAAAUUGGGGUUUUGAGACUCCCCAUAUAAUACAGAUUCCUCUCCAAAGGUCUCAGCUUUCUCUUUUAGUACAAGGCAGAGGAGGCAUAGACCACAGCUUAAAUAAUUUAUUAGCUGCUGAUUUUCCACAAAUUUGAGUAAGACCCUUCUUUUAACAGACAAAAUGUGGGUGAGAUGGCAACGUAACUCACAAAAAACUGGUGCCUCUUCUUUUUUGAGGUGGUUAUGGGCUUGUGGAACUCAGCUGGUCAUACUUACAUUAUAAGUGGACAGGAAGAUGUAUGUGGGGUCGUCUUUAUCCUCUGGGAUGUAUCCUCACCAAAUUAGACUGUCCUCCAUCUAACUGGAAAACUGUAAAGACUCAUUAUAGAAGCCAUCUGCUUCUAUUAGACGGCUAUACCUUCUUCACAGGCAGCCACGAUCAAUGUUGAGCUGCAAGUUGAGGCCUUGGCCGAGCACACGGCUGCAGCUUUGAGUAAUACGCACCAUGCCCUUACCCUCCUGAGGACACCUCUCAGAUUAGGCAGGUGGCCUUACCAAACCGAAUGGCAAAGCCAUUUUAACAGAAGUUCAAGAGGGAACUUGUGCUUUGAUCAAAAUCAAAUGUUGCAGCAUGUUAGAGACUAUUCAUAUAAUAUUACCCGGGUUAAGAAAGCUUUAGACACUCGUAUCUCUGCCAUUGAUGCCCUGUCAGCCAACUCCAUGUCGGCUUGGUCCCGACAACUGCCCAGUCUUUGGAAAGCCUUCCUGUUAGUUUAGCUGGGAUAAUUUUACUUAUUUUUCUUUGAUGUUGUUGAAUAUAUUAUGGUUGUACUCUUUGUAUAGGAACACAAGAUAAGCUUACUCAAUACUUUCUUAAAUUGGACACUUAUUAAUCUUCCAGGUUUCACCUUUUGCUGGAACUCAGAACUACAAAUGAUGCUUCAUGUACCAAUGCUUUCUGACUGAGCUCCUCUCUACUCUGAAUACAAGAGACCCUAAUAGUUAUGUGGAAAUAUCAUCGCCCCUGUUCAGCAUGAAGAAGUUACAGAAGACGGACCUUCAUCCUUCUGCAACCCUUAGGAUUGAAGGUCCUCUUGUAAAAGGGAGAGGGGAAAUAUGUAAGAAGCAUUCAAACCAGAGCAACUGCAUUUUGAACAACGGCUGAGAAAAAUGAAGCUGGGUCCUAUUGGGCUGCAUUCCCAGGAGGUUAAGCAUUCCUAGCCUCAAGAUGUUUACAAUUGAGGGAACAGAUUAAUAAUGUUUCCUAAACAGACUCAGGACUUAACAGACCCAGGAAUGUCUUGAUACUUUGAGAGCAAAAGCCCUUCUAGUUUUAAAUAUGCCUUGUACCUAGGAUGGAUGCUUUUCUUACUUUUGGAAAUGCCCUACUCUGUCUAUGGAGUCACUAUUCAUUCACUCCUUUACUUUAAUAAAGUUGCUUCCAUUUUGCACUGUGGACUUGCUCCAAAUUAUUCCCUUCAUGAGACCCAAGAACCUCUCUUAGGGUCUGGAUUCAGACCCCUUUCUGGUAACAGGUGGAUCUACCAUUCUGGGGUCUGGAGGAUGGCAGCCCUCUUCUCACAGCUCCACUAGGCAGUGCCCCACUGGGGACUUUAUAUGGAGGCUCUAACCCCACAUCUUCCCACCACACCAUCCUAGUUAAGGUUUCUCUGGGUUUUGUAUACAUUUUCCUGAAAUCUAGGCAGAGGUUCCUAAGCCUCACUGUGCACCUGCAGGCUUAACACCAUGUGGAAGUUGCCAAGGCUUACAGUUUGCACCCUUAGAAGCAGCAGCCCAAGUUGUACCUUGACCACUCUUAGCCAUGGCUGGAGCUGGAGUGGCCAAAGUUCAGGGCAUCAUGUCUUGAGGCUGCACAGAGCAGCAGGGUGCUGAGCCUGGCCCAUAAACCCAUCCAGUUUUCCUAGGCCUCCAGGCCUAUGAUGAGAGGGACUGUCACAGUGGUCUCUGAAAUGCUUCUGAGGCCAUUUUCACAUUGCCAUGUCAAUUAGCAACUGACUCCUCUUUACUUGGGCAAAUUUCUGCAACCUGCUUGUAAUACCUUCCCCUGAAAAUGGAUUUUUCUUAUCUACUGCAUGGCCAGACUGCAAAGUUUCCAAAUGUUUAAGCUCUGCUUCUCUUUUAAAUAUAAGUUCCAGUUUCAGGUCAUUUUUUUUACUCAGGCAUACGAGCAUAGACUUUUAGAAGUAUCCAGGUCAAAUCUUGAAUGCUUUACUGCUUAGAAAUUUCUUCCACAAGAUACCUUAAAUCACCUUUCUCAAGUUCAAUAUUCCACCGAUUCUUAGAGCAGGAGCACAAUGCCACCAGUCCCUUUGUUGAAGCAUAAGAGAGUGACUUUUACUCCAGUUCCCAAGAAGAUUUUUAUCUCCAUAUGAAACCUACUCAGCCUGGACUUCAUUGUCCAUAUCACUAUCUAUCUGCAUUUUGGUCACAACAAUUUAACAAGUCUUUGGGAAGUUCAAAUUUUUUUCCUAAUCUUCCUGUCUCCUGAGCCUUCCAAACCCUUACAGCCUUUGAUUAUUACCCAGUUCCAAAGCUGCUUCCAUAUUUUAAGGUAUCUUCAAAACAGUGUCCCACACCCAGUACCAAUUUUUGGCACUAGUUCAUUCUUGAAUUGUUACAAAGAAAUGCCUGAGACUGGUUAAUUUCCAAAGAAAAGAGGUUUAAUUGGCUCAUGGUUCCAUAGGUUGUACAGGAAGCAUGGUAGCAUCUGCUCAGCUUCAAUUAGGUGGAAGGCAAAGGGGAAACUGGCACUUCACAUGGCUGGAACACGAGGGAUGGGGGCAGAUGCUACACACUUUUAAACAUGAUCUCAUGAUAACUUGCUAUUGCCAUGAAAACACCAAGGGGGAUGGUGUUAAACCAUGAGAAACUGUCCCCACGACCCAAUCACCUCCCACAAGGCCCCAUCUCCAACACUGGGGAAUACAAUUGAACAUGAGGUCUGGGUAAAGACAGAGAUCCAAACCAUAUGACUCUGUGAGCAUUAAAUAUAUGCAGAAAAAAGAAUUUGACAGAUUCAACAUCUGUUAGCGAUGAAAACUCAACAAAUUAGGUAUAUAAAGAAUGUGCAACUACACAAUAAAAGCCACAUAUGACAGAGUCACAGCUAGCAUCAUAAUCAACAGAGAAAGAAGAUCCAGAACAAGACAAGGAUGCCCUCUCACCACUUCUGUUCAGUAUAGUACUGGAGGUCUUAGAACAGUUAGGCAACAGAAACAAAAGGCAUCCAAAUUGGAAAGAAAAACAUUGAGUUGUUCGUUUGCAGAUGACAUGAUUUUUUUUUUUCUUGAGACAGUCUCUGCCACCCAGACUGGAAUGCAGUGGCAUGAUCAUGGCUAACUGCAGCCCACACCUCCCUGCCUCAAGUGAUCCUCCUGCCUCAGCCUCCUGAGUAGUUGGAACUACAGGCAUAUGACGUGACACAUGGCUUUUAAUUUUUUUUUUUUUUUGAGAUGUGAUUUAUGUUGCCCAGGCUGGUCUCAAACUCCUGAGCUCAAGCUCCAUGACACUGAUCUGGGCAAUGAUAUUUUGGAUUUUGGCCUAAAAGCACACACAACAAAAGGAAAAAUAGGCAAAUGAUAUUACAGCAAACUGAGAAGCUUCUGCACAGCAAAGGAUACAAUGAACAGAGUGGAGAGAAAACCUACAGAAUGGGAGAAAAUAUUUGCAAACCACACAUAUGACAAGAAGCUACUAUCCAAAAAAUAUAAAGAAUUCAAACAACUCAAUAGCAAGAAACAAAGAAAUUUGAGGCCAGGCGCGGUGGCUCAGACCUGUAAUCCCAGCACUUUGGGAGGCUGAGGCAGGUGGAUCACGAGGUCAACAGAUCAAGACCAUCCUGGCCAACAUGGUGAAAUCCCUUCUCUACUAAAAACACAAAAAUUAGCUGGGCAUGGUGGCACACACCUGUAGUCCCAGCUACUCUGGAGGCUGAAGCAGAAGAAUCGCUUGAACCCGGGAGGCAGAGGUCACAGUGAGCCAAGAUAGCACCACUGCACUCCAGCCUGGCAACAGAGGCUCCUUCUCACAAAAAAAAAAAAAAAAAAAAAAAAAAAAAAAAAAAAAAAAAAAAAAAAAAAAAAAAAGAUA